UGUGAGUGGUGUUUGGUUGCGUGCGGUGGCAGGCUCCGUGCUUUGUGCAUCGAACUGUCGACCCUCGGACCUCUUCAAUCUUUCCCCCGCGGUCGUUGUGCCCGGGUGGUGCUAUCGGGAUCCUGUGCUGCUUACCUAUACCGAUGGAACUUGGGUGUCGUUCCGUCCCUUUUCCGCCUCGCGCCCUCACGGGCUUUGCGACGGAUUUUGGAUUCAUGCUCGGUGCUAUGGGUGCGUCCCCGGAUUGGGUGCGGCCGCCUUGGGGCACCGGUGCAUGAUCGUGCUUACGGAUGCGGAAAGCUUUGUGGGCUUGGGGCCAUGCCCCCGUGGGUUGGAUUAGAUGCGAUUUGUCCCUCGAUAUAUACGACGACGCUCGUGCCCCGUCUUGGACUCUCCGCUGCCCACGCGGCGCGUAGAGGCCCAUGCGGUGCCGACGUCGCG
rnacentral:misc_RNA from 2 species